CCUGUAAUCCCAGCUACUGGGGAGGCUGAAGCGGGAAAAUCGCCUGAAUCCCGGAGGCGGGGGCUGCGGUGAGCCGAGAUUGCGCCAUUGCACUCCAGCCUGGGUAACAAGAGCGAAACUCUGUCUCAAAAAAAAA